rnacentral:misc_RNA from 1 species
GAUGAAGAACGUAGCGAAAUGCGAUAAGUAAUGUGAAUUGCAGAAUUCAGUGAAUCAUCGAAUCUUUGAACGCACCUUGCACCCUUUGGUAUUCCGAAGGGUAUGCUCGUUUGAGUGUCAUUGUACUCUCACACUUCUAAUUCCUUUCGGGAUUGGGAGCGGUGGACUUGGGUGUUGCUGCUUUAGUUGUGGCUCACCUCAAAUAAGUUAGUGCAACUCUUGGUUGGACAUAGUACGGCGUGAUAAGUGUCUUCGCCGGCGCCUCUGUAAGGAGGGUGGCCGAUCGGGAGCUCUGUGCUUCAAACCGUCUUCGGACAAUCUUUGACAACUUGACCUCAAAUCGAGUAGGACUACCCGCUGAACCUAAGCAUAUCAAUAAGCGGAGGA